CUCAACAGCUGAUUUUGAAAAGUUACAAAAAAGGAAAUUAUUAAAUUGCUGUCAAAAAAUAUUUAAAAUAAUUAAGAAAGCUUUAUUUAGACUUUACAAGUACGCCACACACUAAAGUAUAUGCUUAAAUUGUAAGUAAGGACAAGCUAUCUCCUACUUGCAUAUUCAUGCCUUUCCUUGGUCCAAUGGAAGCAAGCAAUUUAAUGAUACCCGAAGACACUUUCCUGCAAAUUUAGUGAUAGAUAUAGUGGAGCAGCUGCUGUAACAUAAUUGUAGAAGGAAUCAUUAUGGAGAUCCUAACCUAAUUUGCUGUGCAAUAUGAAAUGCAAAUGAAUAUGUUACAGGAUCAAUGCUUAUUGUUACUUAGCCUAGAAUCAAUUAAUAUUAGCACCAUAUCUUGGAUGAAUUCUUAAUUGUAAAUUUCAUAGUAUUUUAUAAGCUUCAAAAUGUUAAAGGGAAUAUUAAUUCAGCUUACCAAAUCAUAUAGUUAAAUUUUUAAAAGUAAAUAUAAAUUGGAAAAAUGCAGUAAA